rnacentral:lncRNA from 1 species
GCUGCUUUUUGCUAUGCGCACUGGUUUGCUGUGAUCUAGAUCCCACGUUCAGGCAGAAAUGCAGGCGUGCCCCUGAGGAGCCAGUGCUGAGACCGCUGAGGUGGCGUCCAGAAGAACAGAAGAGGCUGUUUAGCAGGAGA